AACUUUCAACAAAGGAUCUCUUGGCUCUCGCAUCGAUGAAGAACGCAGCGAAGCGCGAAAUGUAAUGUGAAUCGCAGAACAUUGUGAAUCAUCGAAUCUUUGAACGCACAUUGCGCCUCCUGUUACAGGGAGGCAUGCCUGUCUGAGCGUCAUUUUAACCCAAUAGGCUUGGCCUGUUUUGGGCUUCGCUGGGCUCCCCAGCGUUGCCUCAAUUGCAUGUCGUUGCGAAUGGACGAGAUCCUGUAGGACUCUAUUCCAAUCAAGCGACCGGACUGAAUGAAUG
rnacentral:misc_RNA from 1 species